rnacentral:rRNA from 1 species
GUUCUGCAGUGGGUACGGGCAGACUAGAGUGAUGUAGGGGAGACUGGAAUUCCUGGUGUAGCGGUGAAAUGCGCAGAUAUCAGGAGGAACACCGAUGGCGAAGGCAGGUCUCUGGGCAUUAACUGACGCUGAGGAGCGAAAGCAUGGGGAGCGAACAGGAUUAGAUACCCUGGUAGUCCAUGCCGUAAACGUUGGGCACUAGGUGUGGGGGACAUUCCACGUUUUCCGCGCCGUAGCUAACGCAUUAAGUGCCCCGCCUGGGGAGUACGGCCGCAAGGCUAAAACUCAAAGGAAUUGACGGGGGCCCGCACAAGCGGCGGAGCAUGCGGAUUAAUUCGAUGCAACGCGAAGAACCUUACCAAGGCUUGACAUGAACCGGUAAUACCUGGAAACAGGUGCCCCGCUUGCGGUCGGUUUACAGGUGGUGCAUGGUUGUCGUCAGCUCGUGUCGUGAGAUGUUGGGUUAAGUCCCGCAACGAGCGCAACCCUCGUUCUAUGUUGCCAGCGCGUUAUGGCGGGGACUCAUAGGAGACUGCCGGGGUCAACUCGGAGGAAGGUGGGGACGACGUCAAAUCAUCAUGCCCCUUAUGUCUUGGGCUUCACGCAUGCUACAAUGGCCGGUACAAAGGGUUGCGAUACUGUGAGGUGGAGCUAAUCCCAAAAAGCCGGUCUCAGUUCGGAUUGGGGUCUGCAACUCGACCCCAUGAAGUCGGAGUCGCUAGUAAUCGCAGAUCAGCAACGCUGCGGUGAAUACGUUCCCGGGCCUUGUACACACCGCCCGUCAAGCCACGAAAGUUGGUAACACCCGCAGCCGGUGCCCUACC